UGCCUUGACAGGACAUAACAAAAAUUGUACAACAGGUGGAUUGACUGAGUGGAGGGGUGCAUCUCUCUAGCCGUGGCGUGCGAUUGUUCAUAUAAACUCUACGGCGGAGAAAAUGGAUACCCCCUGGCUUGCCUUGAGGGGACAAAGCAAAUUUUACAACAGGUGGAUUGAUUGAGCGGAGGAGAUCAUCUCUUUAGCCUUGGCGUGCUUUUGUUUUUCACUGCGACUCUGCGGCCGAGAACAUGGAAACCCCCUGGCUUGCCUAGACAGGACAGAACACAGCGAUGUAUAUAGCUGUUUAUCAGAGAGCACGGCGCUUAUAACCAACUCAACCCAAUAUAAAAAUUGUAUUAAGAUUAUGUUCAGAGUUGACAUAAGUCAUUCCCUUUUUAUAUU